rnacentral:rRNA from 1 species
GAGGCGGCUGAGGCGGGGCGGAGGGGGUCGGUCGGAACGAGGCGGGGCGUCGAGGGGGCAUCGCCUCACGGGGCGUCGGAGCUACGCGACGGUGCGGCCGGGCGGGGCGGCGACGGU